CACCCUAUUGCUUCCUUCAUCUUAUUUUAUGGUUGUAUCGACAUCGUGUUUUCUCCCUAUGGUAGUUAUUGGAGACAGCUUCGAAAAAUUUGCACAGUGGAACUUCUCAGCCCAAAGCGCGUCCAAUCCUUCCGGUCAAUCAGGGAAGAGGAAGUUUCUAAUUUCAUCAAAACAAUUUCACAGACCGGCAAGUCUCCGAUCAAUCUUUCUGAGAAACUUUUCCUAAUUACGAACAGCAUAAUACAGCGAGCUGCAGUUGGUAAAAAGUGCAGAGAUCAGGAAGAAUUGGUUUCAGCCGUCGAACGAUUUAUAAGUCUCUCUUCAGGUUUUGCUAUUGCAGAUUUGUACCCUUCAAUUAAAGUUUUUCAACAGAUGAGUGGAUUAAGGUCUAAACUUGAGAAGGUGCAUCGACAAGUUGAUCGGAUAAUUGAGAAUAUCAUUAGGGAGCAAAAAAGCCAAGCCACAGCCUCUCAGGUGGGCAGCGGUAAUGAAGUAGAAGAUCUUAUUCAUGUUCUUUUAAAGCUUCAAGAACAGGGAAAUCUUGAAUUUGCUCUAUCUGACGCCAGUCUUAAAGCAAUCAUUCUGGAUGUGUUUGCUGCUGGGACUGAGACGUCAUCAUCAACAUUAGAGUGGGCAAUGUCAGAAUUGUUGAAGAAUCCAAAGCUGAUGAAGGAGGCACAGGCUGAAGUAAGACGAGUAUUUGAUCCAAAAGGAACUGUAGAUGAAACCAGAAUAAAUGAGCUGAAAUUUUUGAAAUCAGUAAUCAAAGAAACCUUGAGGCUACACCCUCCUUUAUCUCUUAUUGCAAGAGAAUGUGGCACAAGUUGUGUGAUUAAUGGAUAUCAUAUACCUGCC
rnacentral:misc_RNA from 1 species